rnacentral:lncRNA from 1 species
AAUAGGGAGGGCCGAGCUAACAAGAACUUCACUCAGAAAUCAAUCACCUCUUGCAUACCUUCCUACAAACUCUAAGCAACCAAGAGAAAUCGAGAUGGCAUUCUCAAAGACUUUUCUUCUUGUCGCCCUUGCCUUUGCUGUUCUCCUCAUCUCUGCUGAGGUCUCGGCUCACCGUGACCUAGCUGAGACUACCACUGCUACUCGUGAGUUUCAAACUUUCUUAAUCAUUCAACCAGGAUUGAAUUACAUUCUAUAAUUUGACAUUUUGACUGUAUCAUAUGUGUUUCUUUGCUUCGACUUUAACGUAUAGAUUUUUUCGAGUGUAGAGAAAGCCAACACUGAUGGCUACCACGGACACGACCAUGGAUGGCACGGUGGACACGGAGGACAUGGUGGACACGGAGGACAUGGUGGUCAUCACGGAGGGCAUGGACCUCAUGAUGUUGAGACUGAGAACUAGAUGAUGAAGAUGAUAACCCUUUGUACGUAUGCAUGCAGUGGUGUACAUUGCAGGCGUACGUAGCUGAUGCAAAGGGUUUUAAUAUGGAAGCAGUAAUAGCUUGCUUGGUUAUGAAUAAUAAGUGUGUAUUUGGUUGAGCAGUCCACAAAACUCUCAAUCGAUCAUAUCUUUGUAAUUCGAUCCUCGGAUCUCUAUGUCAUGAACUAUCUACGAUCCACACUUUAUAUUAGCUGAUCAAUUUAUGCUUGUCUAUAUCACUAUAUGCAUGACUAUAUAUCUCUAUAUCAGAUCCAGAUUGGGAAAACGAUAAAAUGUUUAGAGCAUGCACACCUAAUAACAGUUUCAAUAGAAUAUAUCGC